CAGUUUUAUGAACAACUAAGUAAGUGUAGCUAAAAAUACUAAUGAGAUAUAAUUCUUAGCUUCUCAGAUGGGAGAAAAAUGAGAAGCUGGCUGACACUCAGGACCGUCAUGGCUGAGGGGACCGGGCUCUGCCAAGCACGGCUAGAAGGAGCAGAAAUCCAAACUAAUGUUCAGGGAGAUUUAUUUAUAUCUCUCUGGGUAGCUCCCUGGCUUACUCUGCAUCACUGAGAAGACUGGAGCGGGGGUUCUCAGUGCCUCAGUUUCCCCACUUACUCAGUAGCUAGAACAACAAAGACCUGUUUGUGCAGGCAGAAGAUUGAGGAGGGUGGGAAGCAGAACUAAGAAGUGAUUAUGAGGUUAUCAAUGCAAAGACCACCAGGCACUGUGACAGCGACAGUCACCUCUGACCUGCAUGGCCCCCCAGCUUCCCGCCCAGAACACUCUGACAUUUUAGUUGGUCUCAGCUGUGGCAAGAAGCAGCUGGACCCCAGUGAGAAGAGGAAACCAGAGGCUGCCUUCUGACAGCUGGGGUCAGGGUCCCUGGCUCAGUGGGCCUGAGUUCAGGUGCACCUACUUCCUCAUUCCCAUUCUGUCAAAUGGCACAUUAAUAAGCAAGAAGGAGAUUCGGGGAAGAAUUUCCAGAAGGACAAAAACUCAUCAGGAGGGCCUGAGUGCUGGCUGCCUGCACCAGCAGAAACUGGCAGGACUCAAGGCAUCCUGGGUACAGCUGUCAGAGAAGGAACAAAGAUCUGACAACCGACUGGUCCUUUCUCUGUGCUGUGCGGUAGAGGAGAGGAUGCAACCUCGUGAAUGUCCGACUGCAAAGACCCACGUCUACAAAUUGCUGUCAGCCAGAGGAAUGACUGUAACUUCCUCGGUGCCGAGGCAGAGCCAAUGCCUUCUCUGUGUGUGUCUACAGGACAGACUUCAGUCAGUAUCUGCUGAGCACAUGCAUGGAUUGAUUUUAUACUCCUUCGUCCCACAAGGUCACGCCUUCCUCAUGCUUCCUUUUGAUCCAACGCAGGAGCAGGGUCGAUGUUAUUACUCCAAAGACCAAAUCGGCAAUGGUGUGGACUCUAGAGAUCUUGGGCUCAAGGUCACUGAAACUGAUGAACAUCUCAAGGUUAUUGCACGAUGGGCAAAGACUGCACCACAAAGCCAAAAGAAUGGAAAUUUUACCUCUCAGUGGUCUGCUGAUGUGAUUUCUUAUUUACUGCACCUUCCCUUCUAAUUGUGUUUAGCCAAGGGUUUAUCAAAAAUGUCACUGUUGGCUUUUUUCCUUCCCAAGAUCAAUAGGGGAGGGUUUCACUGGUUGUGAAAAUAUAUAAAAUAUAUCAUCAAGUAGAGGGAGUAAAUUGGGAAUGU
rnacentral:lncRNA from 1 species